rnacentral:tRNA from 1 species
GACUCUGUAGCUCAGUUAGUUUGACCGCUGUACCGGAAUCGCAGGGUCGCAGGUUCGAUUCCUGUCACAGAGCCU